GGAUGUAAGGGCAGUCUGGCUGUGACAUCUGUCACCCCAUUGAUCGCCAGCAUUAAUAAUGGCUGAUCUGGCUGGCUAGAUCGGUGUCCCCUUCCUCCCUCAUGGCUCCGUGUGUGUCCCUCCCAAAGCUGUGCCCUUAGUCGAAGAGGAAGACCUUCCCAAUAGAGGAGGACCAUUCUUUGGUCAAGGGUAUGCAAGUAGCUGUGUUACCUGCUAGAACCUCCAAAAAGGCUCUCAAGGUCCAUUUGCAGGAGAAUGUAGGGUAGUCAGGCUUCUAAGACUCCAAACACAUCCAAAUGAGGCACUACAUGUGGCAGUCUGUCAUUCUUC
ensembl:misc_RNA 7SK 7SK RNA